CCCGCACAAGCGGUGGAGUAUGUGGUUUAAUUCGAUGCAACGCGAAGAACCUUACCUGGUCUUGACAUCCCGGAGACCCUUAGGAAACUAGGGGGUGCUUCCAUCUGGAAGAAUCUGGAGACAGGUGCUGCAUGGCUGUCGUCAGCUCGUGUCGUGAGAUGUUGGGUUAAGUCCCGCAACGAGCGCAACCCUUGCCUUUAGUUGCCAGCAGUUCGGCUGGGCACUCUAAAGGGACUGCCGGUGUUAAACCGGAGGAAGGUGGGGAUGACGUCAAGUCCUCAUGGCCUUUAUGACCAGGGCUACACACGUACUACAAUGGCCGAUACAAAGGGCAGCGACACUGCGAGGUGAAGCCAAUCCCGUAAAAUCGGUCUCAGUCCGGAUUGGAGUCUGCAACUCGACUCCAUGAAGUUGGAAUCGCUAGUAAUCGUGGAUCAGCAUGCCACGGUGAAUACGUUCCCGGGCCUU
rnacentral:rRNA from 1 species